rnacentral:rRNA from 1 species
UGAGCAAUCUGCCCUUCUCAUCGGAAUAAGCGUUGGAAACGACGUCUAAUGCCGAAUACGACCUCCUUUCGCAUGAUCGGAGGUGGAAAGCUCCGGCGGAGAAGGAUGAGCUCGCGGCCUAUCAGCUAGUUGGUGUGGGUAAUGGCCCACCAAGGCGACGACGGGUAGCCGGCCUGAGAGGGUGACCGGCCACACUGGGACUGAGACACGGCCCAGACUCCUACGGGAGCCCAG